rnacentral:rRNA from 1 species
UGUGGCUGGGGGUGAAAGGCCAAUCAAACCGGGAGAUAGCUGGUUCUCCCCGAAAGCUAUUUAGGUAGCGCCUCGUGAACUCAUCUUCGGGGGUAGAGCACUGUUUCGGCUAGGGGGUCAUCCCGACUUACCAACCCGAUGCAAACUACGAAUACCGAAGAAUGUUAUCACGGGAGACACACGGCGGGUGCUAACGUCCGUCGUGAAGAGGGAAACAACCCAGACCGCCAGCUAAGGUCCCAAAGUCAUGGUUAAGUGGGAAACGAUGUGGGAAGGCACAGACAGCCAGGAUGUUGGCUUAGAAGCAGCCAUCAUUUAAAGAAAGCGUAAUAGCUCACUGGUCGAGUCGGCCUGCGCGGAAGAUGUAACGGGGCUAAACCAUGCACCGAAGCUGCGGCAGCGACGCUUAUGCGUUGUUGGGUAGGGGAGCGUUCUGUAAGCCUGCGAAGGUGACCUGUGAGGGUUGCUGGAGGUAUCAGAAGUGCGAAUGCUGACAUAAGUAACGAUAAAGCGGGUGAAAAGCCCGCUCGCCGGAAGACCAAGGGUUCCUGUCCAACGUUAAUCGGGGCAGGGUGAGUCGACCCCUAAGGCGAGGCCGAAAGGCGUAGUCGAUGGGAAACAGGUUAAUAUUCCUGUACUUGGUGUUACUGCGAAGGGGGGACGGAGAAGGCUAUGUUAGCCGGGCGACGGUUGUCCCGGUUUAAGCAUGUAGGCUGGUUAUCCAGGCAAAUCCGGAUAAUCAAGGCUGAGGUGUGAUGACGAGGCACUACGGUGCUGAAGUAACAAAUGCCCUGCUUCCAGGAAAAGCCUCUAAGCAUCAGGUAACAUCAAAUCGUACCCCAAACCGACACAGGUGGUCAGGUAGAGAAUACCAAGGCGCUUGAGAGAACUCGGGUGAAGGAACUAGGCAAAAUGGUGCCGUAACUUCGGGAGAAGGCACGCUGGUGUGUAGGUGAAGCCCCUGCGGGUGGAGCUGAGACCAGUCGAAGAUACCAGCUGGCUGCAACUGUUUAUUAAAAACACAGCACUGUGCAAACACGAAAGUGGACGUAUACGGUGUGACGCCUGCCCGGUGCCGGAAGGUUAAUUGAUGGGGUUAUCCGUAAGGAGAAGCUCUUGAUCGAAGCCCCGGUAAACGGCGGCCGUAACUAUAACGGUCCUAAGGUAGCGAAAUUCCUUGUCGGGUAAGUUCCGACCUGCACGAAUGGCGUAAUGAUGGCCAGGCUGUCUCCACCCGAGACUCAGUGAAAUUGAACUCGCUGUGAAGAUGCAGUGUACCCGCGGCAAGACGGAAAGACCCCGUGAACCUUUACUAUAGCUUGACACUGAACAUUGAGCCUUGAUGUGUAGGAUAGGUGGGAGGCUUUGAAGCGUGGACGCCAGUCUGCGUGGAGCCAACCUUGAAAUACCACCCUUUAAUGUUUGAUGUUCUAACGUUGGCCCCUUAUCGGGGUUGCGGACAGUGUCUGGUGGGUAGUUUGACUGGGGCGGUCUCCUCCCAAAGCGUAACGGAGGAGCACGAAGGUUAGCUAAUCCUGGUCGGACAUCAGGAGGUUAGUGCAAUGGCAUAAGCUAGCUUGACUGCGAGCGUGACGGCGCGAGCAGGUGCGAAAGCAGGUCAUAGUGAUC